CCUACGGGAGGCAGCAGUGAGGAAUCUUGGUCAAUGGGCGCGCGCCUGAACCAGCCACGUAGCGUGAAGGAUGACUGACCUACGGGUUGUAAACUUCUUUUAUAAAGGAAUAAAGUGAGGCACGUAUGCCUUUUUGUAUGUACUUUAUUAAUAAGGACUGUCUAACUACGUGCCAGCAGCCACGGUAAUACGGAGGAUCCGAGCGUUCUUCGUAUUUAUUGGUUUUAAAGGGAGCGUAGAUGGGUUGUUAAGUCAGUUGUGAAAGUUUGCGGAUCAACCGGAAAAUUGCAAUUGAUACUGGCAGUCUUGAGUACAGUUGAGGUAGGCGGAAUUCGUGGUGUAGCGGUGAAAUGCUUAGAUAUCACGAAGAACUCCGAUUGCGAAGGCAGCUUACUAAACUGCCACUGACAUUGAUGCUCGAAAGUGUGGGUAUCAAACAGGAUUAGAUACCCUUGUAGUC
rnacentral:rRNA from 1 species